AUGAGCUUCUAUAGCCUCCAUGAGUCUCUCCACAAGGAGAUCGCCAAGAUCCAGUCCCGCUUCUACUGGGCUGGCGAGCAUGAUAAGCAGAAGUACCACAUGGUCAGUUGGCCUGACAUCUGCAAGCCCAGGGAGCAAGGUGGCCUGGGCAUCAUGUGCUCCAAGAGGAUGAAUAUAGCCCUUCUCUCCCGCUGGCUCUGGCGCAUCGCCCAAGGUCAUGGCGGCCUCUGGCUCGACAUUAUCCGGAAUAAAUACCUGCGGGGCCAGCCACUUGCCUUCUGCCAGAAAUCGGGCGGCUCCCAGUUCUGGCAGUCUAUUGUUCAGCUUCUCCCGGUGCUUCGCAUUGGGACCUCCAUCUCGGUGGGGUCCGGCCUCUCGACGCUCUUCUGGUUUGAUCGUUGGGCCGGAGACUCCCACUUUGCGGCCCGCUUCCCCGCCCUCUUCUCUAUCUCCGUCGACCCCAUGAUUUCGGUCAAUAGGGCUCUUCUUGACCUGGGGCGCCUUGCUUUCCGUCGCCCUUUUGGGCCGGCGGAAUCCGCUGCCUGGCGUGAGUUGCUUGAUUGCGUCGCGUUGCACGAGCCGUUGGUGGAUGGCAGGUCGGACCGUGUCCGGUGGCGGCUGGAGCCGUCGGGCCUGUUCUCCACCAAGUCGCUUUACUCGGCCAUUGCCCCUUCCUCCGCCCCCUCCCCUUAUCGAUGGUUUGGUCCGUCCGCGUACCACUGA
rnacentral:rRNA from 1 species